AGCUGUGUGUGUUCUUCCACCUGGCGUCUGAUCGAGGAACUGCAGGAUCCUUUAACUGCGGAAGUAACUCAGCCCUGUGGGCGCAAAGCAUGAUGGGAAUGUUCAUUCAUUCGUAUAAAGAGCAAUUUUCUGCUUUUAUUCGAGAUGAAUUCAUGUCAGUUUUCCAGUCAUGUUUUUGGAUAGUCUGUGUAGAUAGCUGUUCAUUUGCAUGUGUGUUAUGUGCAGAAUCUAAAUACGUACCAGAAUACCUGCCAUCUUCAGGAUCUGUGUGAUAUUUGAAGUGCUCGAGUGUCUGAGGAAGUGGGAGGUUAAGACUAUACUUUCAGGGAUCAUUUCUAUAGUCUCUAACUAGGAAAUGUGAUUUGAAAGCGUUACGUCUCUCUAAUCACGAUGACGAGGUCUGAUGUGCUUUUCUGAGCGUGAAUCGGGUUGAAACUAAUGAUUCGUUCAUGAGUUUUAAUCAUUGAUGAACGUUCUUCAUUUCUUAGGAAAUGUGAGAGGAAGAGUACAUGAUCAGAGUGAUUAUUACUGAAUUGUUAAUGAAAGAAUUAUGUUUUAUUUUGGUCAGAAUUGUUAUGUUAUGUUUUUAAUGGUGGAAGUAGAAGUGUUUUUAGUGUAAUGUAAUGAAAUGGUGUGAGAGGUAUUAAGUAAAAACGCGGUAAGUUGUGUGAAUCUGGUCAUAUACGCGAAUAAACACUCCAUAGGAAGAAUUCAUGCCAGAAAUAAAACUAAGUACUCUAUACGUGUGAUGUUAAAAUAAAAUAAAAUAAAUAUGGAGUCACGUAAAAUUUGUUAAUCAGCACAACACGCUGCAAAAAACAAAAAGUGCUCUCACCAAGCAGAAGACUGAGACUCAGAAAAUGGACAUCAGCAAGAGGAAAGACUCUUUAAACUGGAUCUCAGCCUUUCAUAUGGAUCUAUGGAUUGAAAUCAGUUUAAGACUGAAGGAGUUUUGGAGUUUUUGGGUGGGAGGGUGGAGAGUCUGAGGGGUUUUAAAACAUGUAAAUAUGCAAAACUGCUGCAUUAAAGGCAUCUUCAAAUGUAUCAAGAAGUCUCUCUCUCUCGCUGUGCAUGCUGGGAGUGUGGGGAAUGUGAGCGUCUCACAGGUGAGAGGAGCGAUGUAAAUUCAGUGUGCUUUGUUAUUUUCUCCUUUUUCUUACUUUAAUAUUUCAUUUUCGUGUGUAUGUGUGUUUUCUUUUCUUAACGUUAAACCUGGUGGGAGUUUUCUCGCAUAUUUAUACUUUUCUGGUGAGAGUUCAGAGUAACUUCAUGGCGGAUGGCGGAGAUGGAGUUUCAUCCGAGUGUGUGCCCGACGCCGGCGCCACAGUGGAGGAUGUACUCGUGCUUCCAGGAUGAACAAAGCUAUGGUGAUCUUUCUGAAGGAGUGGAGUUUAGUCAGUCAUUUGAUUGAGAGCGGAGUUUGGCUGUGUGUGUUCUUCCACCUGGCGUCUGAUCGAGGAACUGCAGGAUCCUUUAACUGCGGAAGUAACUCAGCCCUGUGGGCGCAAAGCAUGAUGGGAAUGUUCAUUCAUUCGUAUAAAGAGCAAUUUUCUGCUUUUAUUCGAGAUGAAUUCAUGUCAGUUUUCCAGUCAUGUUUUUUGGAUAGUCUGUGUAGAUAGCUGUUCAUUUGCAUGUGUGUUAUGUGCAGAAUCUAAAUACGUACCAGAAUACCUGCCAUCUUCAGGAUCUGUGUGAUAUUUGAAGUGCUCGAGUGUCUGAGGAAGUGAGAGGUUAAGACUAUACUUUCAGGGAUCAUUUCUAUAGUCUCUAACUAGGAAAUGUGAUUUGAAAGCGUUACGUCUCUCUAAUCACGAUGACGAGGUCUGAUGUGCUUUUCUGAGCGUGAAUCGGGUUGAAACUAAUGAUUCGUUCAUGAGUUUUAAUCAUUGAUGAACGUUCUUCAUUUCUUAGGAAAUGUGAGAGGAAGAGUACAUGAUCAGAGUGAUUGUUAUUGGAUUGGUAAUAAUAGAUACUUACUCAACGAGUUUUCGUAGCGUGUUUUUUAAUUUGUUUUGCGUUUUUGUCUUUAAGUUUUCUUUUAUUAAUAAGGAAGGUAAGAUAGUAAAGUGGAUCUUCUUGCUAUGCAAUGAAAUCGUAUAAGAAGUAUUAAGUGAAAACGCUGUUGUGUGAAUGUGAUCGUAUACGCGAAUGAAUGCUCUGUAGGAAAAAUUCAUGCAGAAACAAAAUUAAGUUCUCUGUACGUGUAAAGUUUGUGAACAUAAAAUAAAUAUGGGGUCACAAAAACAAUCAUUAAAAUGUGACGCGAAAGAAAGUUAACCAUGUGAUAAUGAAUGGAUCAUGUGGGGGGAAUCACAUGAAAAUAAACAAGUCACGUGAGAAAACCACGUGAUAAUGUAUCCUGGGGGGACACCUUAAACUCAACACACGUGCUACGUGUGAAAAGACUUGUGAAGUGUCUAAAAACCACACGUGUAAACUUCACACCAGUUUGGAUUAUUUCCAUGUGAAGGUCAACACAGUAGAGCUGAGGACCAGAAAAAUGGAAGAAAGUGAAGAAAGUGAGGAACAGCAGUGAAUGAGUGAAUGUGGUGAUGCAGGAGAGUGAAGAGCCAGUGUGCAGUACAGGAGCUACAGGUGGAGAACAGCUCACACACAUGCAGCACGGAGAGAUCACAUCAGAUCAGCCAAGAUUUUCAGACACUUCAGAAACCUUGCACAACACACUGCAAAAAACGAAAAGCGCUCUCACCAAGCAGAAGACUGAGACUCAGAAAAUGGACAGCAGCAACAGGAAAGACUCUUUAAACUGGAUCACGGCCUUUCAUAUGGAUCUAUGGAUUGAAAUCAGUUUAAGACUGAAGGAGUUUUGGGUUUUUGGGUGGGAGGAAAUAACCCCAACUUUUCACAGCAUAAAGUAUCAUAUGAAGGCUUAAGAUUACAAUGCCAAUAAUAAGUAGAGUGCUGUGCUAGAGCGCAUCCAGUCCAUCAGUUAUAUCAGUAAGUUCUCCCUGUGGUGGAGAAGGUUGUGGAGUAUCUCCAUCAUCACUGCUUACAGUUCUCACCUCACACUGAACAGCACUUACACCAACUUCAUCACCAGCACACACCUCCACUUUAUCACUGCCAUUAACACAAUUCCUCACCACAGUUCUUUACAGUUACUUACUUCCUGAUUGUCCUGCGUUUCAUUCUGGGCCAAAUCGACUCCCUAAUUUUCAGUUUCUUUUUCAAUUUUGAGCAAAAACAAGGAGAAAGAAAACUUAUGCUACACUUGAAACUGCCAGGUGGGACUUCAACAUCUAAUCCAAAAGAAAUGAGAAAACUUGCAAAGGACUUUUACACCGAAUUGUUUAAAGCUGGAGAAUGUGACAAUAGACAAAUAGCUAUCUACUAAGGGACCUGCCAAAGUUGACUGAUGCUCAGAGACAAUGCCUUGAUGCUAAUAUCCAAUCAGAGGAAAUGUCAGAAGCUGUAAAACAACUCUCUACAGGUCAAUCUCCAGGUAUAGAUGAACUUCCUUCUGAAUUUUAUAAGCACUUUUGGUUCUAUAGGACUGCUCAUAGGAAAAAUGAACUGCCGACCAGUUGCAGAAGAGCACUUUUAUCUUUAUUACCCAAAAAAGGUGACCUUGGACUGCUAAAGAACAGGAGACCAGUAGCAAUACUGUGUACUGACUGCAAAAUCCUUGCUAAGUGCCUUUCAAAUAGAUGAAAAAAUUUUUUAGAAUAUGUUAUUAAUGAUUACCAGACCUAUUGUGUGCCAAACAGAGCAAUAAUGGAUAAUCUUUUUCUUGUGCAUGAUGUGAUAAAUAUAGCUAAUGGUAAUAAUGAAGAUAUAGGAUCACUUUUAAUUGAUCGAGAGUAAGCCUUCGAUAGGGUUGAUCAUCUUUAUCUAUUUUAAACCCAUAAAGCAUUUGGUUUUGGUCAAAGUUUUAUUUCAUGGAUUAAACUUUUAUACAGUGGCGCAUCUGUAUUGAUAAAGGCAGGGGGUGUUCUAAGUUAUCCAGUGUUAGUUAAUAGCGGUAUAAGGCAAGGCUCUCCAUUAUCAGGGCAGUUGUACUCUUUGGCUAUUGAGCCUUUGCUCUGCCAUCUGAAGAAAAAAUAGCAGGGGUUUCAAAUUGACGUUUUCGAAAAUAAACUAAUUACCUUUUCUGCCUAUGCUGAUGAUGUAACAGUUUUUUUAUAAGAAGUGACAAUGAUGUAUAUAAUUUAACAAAACUUUUAAACAAUUAUGAAAAGGCCUCAUCAACUAAAGUAAAUUGGGAAAAGAGUGAAGGAUACCUAAUGGGAGAUUGGCAUGGAAGGGCCACCCCCCCAGUUCUUCCAGGGAGAGUUAAAUGGGGACGAGAAGGUUUGAAGAUGUUAGGAGUGUAUUUAGGAAUGGAACAAUAUCAGCAGAAAAACUGGGAGGGUAUGGUGGAGAAAAUGUGUGACCGGUUGUCUCGAUGGUCUUGGGUACUGCCGCAGCUAUCUUAUAGGGGGUAGGGUUUUGGUCACGAACAAUCUGGCCGCUUCUGCUUUAUGGCGUAAAAUGAAUGUUCUGGAGCCCCCAGCCAGUGUUGUUCAAGAACUACAAAAGAAGCUAAUUGGUUUCUUUUGAGAUGGACAGCACUGGACAAAAGCUGCUGUACUUUUCCUGCCCAUUCAAGAGGGAGGACAAGGCCUGAUGGACAUUAGAAACAGAAUCAAGAAUUUCAGACUUCAAGCAGCACAAAGAUUGCUGUAUUUGGAACCUUGCUGGGCUGAUAUAGCUCAUGCUCUGUUACCAAAAGCAGAUGUUCUCAAAUACAAUAUGCAACUGUUUUUAAUCGGACUGGUUAAUUGAGGGACAUUUCCCCAUUCUAUAAAGCAGUUUUAAGAACAUGGGCCUCAGUUUUUAAAGUUAAGAGGAAGCUCACAAAUCUUUGACUUUGGAUAAGGAAUGAACCCCUUUUUAACAACCCGCUGAUACAAACACAGGUGCUGGAACCUAGGAGUGUGUGAAAUAUAAUGGCAAGAGUAGGAUGUACAAAAAUUGCUGAUCUAAAGAGUGGUAUAAACUGGAAGAGUCCAGAGGAAAUGUGCAACUUGACCAGCAUCAAGUCUACAAGAGUCAUGAAGAGAAUAAUGGAAGGAAUAUUUUCAACAAUACCUGUACCUCUUCAGACAAAGUUUAGCAGAAAAUGAACUUGCUGAACAGGACAGAGAAAGGCAUGACAAGUUUCUCCAACUACAGGUCUCAGUGGCGGUGGACAUGGAGCCAGAAGAAGGUUCUCUGCUGAGUUUCAGGACUCCAGAGUUGAAAGGCUUUGAGAAUGUUUCAGAAAAGGCACUAUACACCAUUUGUGUGAGAGUGUCUCACUACACCACAUUCAAAGACUACAAGGAGUCAAAGUGGUCAGAUUUGUUUGGGCCAGACUCGUCCCCCAAGGGCUGCUGGAGGUCCCUGUACAAACCUCCUAUAGAGAAACGCACUGCAAUGGAGUCCAAUUGAUCUCCAAUGGAGGGUUGUUCAGUGGGUGGUAGCUACAAACAAACACGUGGCACGUAUUGACCCCACUGUAGAGAAAGAGUGUCCUUUUUGUAGCACUGAAGAGUCAGUAGAUCAUUUGGAUUUUAGAGUGAUGGGUCAGAAGACUUGGGAGAGGUUCUGAUGAAAAACUUUUUAUUUUUGGACCUAAAUAUGUUGCCUCAAGGAGGAAAAAAAAAAUUCUUUGAUCACCUUUUUGGUGGAAGAAGCAAAUCUGGCCAUAUGGUUAACACAAAAAAAGAAAUUGAAAGGAGAGGGUGUAGCAGACCCUGAGACUGUGUUAAAGGCACUUAUAGCUGCUAGAAUUAGGGCUGAGUUUGCAUACUUUAAGUUGACAAACAAUCUGGAUGGUUUUAUUGAAGCUUGGGCUUUGAAUGAUGUUCUGUGUACAGUGGACUAGGAUAAUAAACUAAUUUAAAAUUUGUUAAAAUUUUGAAUUUGUUUUUAAGCACGUAUAUGUAUGAAUUUCAACUGUAAAAAUGAGAAUUGUGCAAGUGUAUUUAUUAGGGGGUUGUUUUCUUUUUUCCUCUUCUCCUCGAUGAGUGAUAUUGCUUAUGAUCCUUUCUCUUUAAAGAUAUGUACAGCAAAUGACGGUCAGAUAAAUGUGAAACACAUUAAUACAGUGUAAACAUAAAUAAAGGUGAGUGAAAAGUCUCUCUCUCUCUCUCUCUCUCUCUCACCCGUGUGAUGACCCUAAAGCUGUGUGUGUUCUUCCACCUGGCGUCUGAUCGAGGAACUGCAGGAGCCUUUAACAGCGGAAGUAACUCAGCCCUGUGGGCGCAAAGCAUGAUGGGAAUGUUCAUUCAUUCGUAUAAAGAGCAAUUUUCUGCUUUUAUUCGAGAUGAAUUCAUGUCAGUUUUCCAGUCAUGUUUUUUGGAUAGUCUGUGUAGAUAGCUGUUCAUUUGCAUGUGUGUUAUGUGCAGAAUCUAAAUACGUACCAGAAUACCUGCCAUCUUCAGCAUCUGUGUGAUAUUUGAAGUGCUCGAGUGUCUGAGGAAGUGAGAGGUUAAGACUAUACUUUCAGGGAUCAUUUCUAUAGUCUCUAACUAGGAAAUAUGAUUUGAAAGUGUUACGUCUCUCUAAUCACGAUGACGAGGUCUGAUGUGCUUUUCUGAGCGUGAAUCGGGUUGAAACUAAUGAUUCGUUCAUGAGUUUAAAUCAUUGAUGAACGUUCUUCAUUUCUUAGGAAAUGUGAGAAGAAAAGUACAUGAUCAGAGUGAUUAUUG